rnacentral:rRNA from 1 species
UAAUGUAUGGGGAUCUGCCCGAUAGAGGGGGAUAACUACUGGAAACGGUGGCUAAUACCGCAUAAUGUCUACGGACCAAAGCAGGGGCUCUUCGGACCUUGCACUAUCGGAUGAACCCAUAUGGGAUUAGCUAGUAGGUGGGGUAAAGGCUCACCUAGGCGACGAUCUCUAGCUGGUCUGAGUGGAUGAUCAGCCACACUGGGACUGAGACACGGCCCAG